UUGAAACUUUACCUCGACCUGGACAACUACUACUGGGGCCAAGCGUAUACUAUUUCUCGGAACCAACCUCAGAACUAGGGAAUCCAACACUGCCUAACAAACUUGAGCUCAUAAGUAGAAGAAUAAAGGGUGUGCAAUACAUACUUAAGGGAAGUAAAGCAAGGCCCAUCGCUCACUUUCUAGAUAGGAGUCCAAAUCUGAUACCUGAAACAUUGGUGGAACCAACAAGAUACAGUGGAUCUAUCUCUCAUUUCAAGAUACAGUGGAUCUAUCUCUCAUUUAAUAACAGUAAUGUCGUGUCGUAAUGUCUUCUUCUGCACCUGCUAUAUCAAUUGUACAUGGAAACAACAUAAUAGUUCUCAGGUAGCGAUCGUAUCUUAUUAGCAGUCCUAAGGAAAGCUGGAUCGAUCGAAUCCCGCCCCAACGGUAGCAGCGGAAUCUACUUUGAUUGGUAAACAUCUUGUCCUGCAGGAGCUCCUUCUCGGCCAGUUCUGGUUGCUUACUUAUAUUACUUAAGUUGUGGCGUGGAGAAUAGAAUGUCCUUAUGAUUCUUCAGCGCAAAGUACUAAAAGUAGUCUUUCUUAAGCUCCAGUUAGUGGGGAUAGUGUUGUCGACGAGUAAGAAUCCGCCGUGAAGUCGUCAGCAGCAAGUGGAUCUUCUGCUUCAGCGAGGAGAUUCAAUGACUGUUUGACAAGGUGAUGCUUGUUCGAAAGAUGGAAAUGCUGUAUUUUCUUAUUUGACUUCAGCGUUAAGUCAUGCCAGAUCCAGGUCCAGGUACAGGGCCAAACUAGUAACUACUCUCCGAGUACAAGAACGGAUCUUAUCGCAAACACUCUCACAUGGCAGGCGAGUAAAGAGAAACUUUCUCUUAAGAUUCUGAAUAUCCUUAUUCUGAUCCGGAUCCAGCUCUUUCCACUUAGUAUGAUCCAGAUCUUCUUGAGUCGACUCUCUUACAUCGUAUCUAAGUGAUUCAUUUCAACAACUCAAUUGUAUCUAAGUGAUUCAUUUCAACAACUCACUACAGCCCUUGUGCGGGGUUCAAAAACCAUACUUUAUACUUUCGUAGAUAGAGAGAAAAAGCAUGAACCGAACUAUAACUAUAAAGAGAGUUGGGCCAGUGUAAAAGUCAAGAUGGAAGCGUCGGAACAGUAUCAAGGAGGAGCGGGAAAUAAAGUGAACUAAGGUCAAAAGGAAGAAAGAGAGCUUUAAGCGAAAAACACGGAAAAAGCUUGAAGAGUCGAAUUGAAAAACUCCACCACAAAUAGAAUCCUGUAACAAAAGAGCAUAGCUUGUUUACCAUAGCUUGCUUACCGGGGCCUUAGCGCUUUAAGAAAAGAGUGGAAUUGAACUGCACUCUGACUUCACUUCGGCUUCAGAUCGUUUUUCUCUUCUAACUACUGAAGAUCAACUUCCAAUUAAGAAAAUCUCCUUUAAAACCUCCCUAUCAGAUGUUCGUAGACAUUUGAGCUUAAUAACUGUGAGCCUUGCCUGUUUCGCUUAAUAACUGUGAGCCUUGCCCUUGCCUGUACGUACCCUCAAGCUUUGGUGCACUCUCUUCACAAUUAGCAAGCUAUAGAGAAGGAGUUAUAGAUCAAGCAACUGAAUAAGUAUUGGCAGAUGCUAGUUCUUUGAAUGAAAGUCAAAGAGUGGGAAACGAGCAAGAAUCAACGUAGUACUUCCGAGCAAGCCAAUUACCUAGCCCUCUCAAGCACCCGACCGACCUGUAAUCUAAUGGUUGAGCUACAGCGGCACGGCACCUCGCUGAAGAAGUUUUCUACUCAUAUUCUGUACAAGGAGCUAAAGCAAGCAGGACAAUCCGUUUACCUACCCUUCUUAUGGGCCAACUGCCCCCUUACUUAGUUUGUAAAGAGCACUGGAUUACUUACCCGCUUCUAUUAUACCUAUUGCUCAAUCCUUAUUAUUCUGGGUUACCCUCUGAAAGUGCAAUUCUAUCUUUUCGGUAAAAUCCAUUCUUAUAUUAUGUAUUGAGAUAAGGGGCACGCCGGUAGUUUACCCCCUUCUAUAAUAGCUGGCUAAUUCUUCUGUUUCAACUUGAAUUCUACCUCCAACAACUCAUUCUGAAACCGACGCCACUGAGUCUGAUCCUGCUCCAACGCUCACUCUGUCCAGUGUUCGCUACCGCGGCAGGAGCCCCGCUACGAUUACUAACACAGCGCUACUGCUUCCAGCUGGCUCUACCUAACCUCGAUAAGGGAAACUGCCUGAAUUGACUCUAACGAGCACAUAAUCUAAGAUGAUAUAUUAACUUCACACCUAUGACUCUGGUGGAUUCACUUUAUAUGACUCUGUGUGUGCUAAAGAGAUGAACUUUAUAUGACUCUGUGUGUGCUAAAGAAAAGAAUAUGGGCAUAGGAGAAUGGAAUGCAAUGAAACGAAACCAAUAUCAUUGAGUAACAAAACUAUAGACUUCUUUGCUUUAAGAAUUGAGUGCACCACCGACUCCAUAAUUAAGUAAAGUAACAAGACUGCUAUCAUAAAGUCACCAAACCAGCUUACUCUAAGACUCGCUAACAGGCGCCCGUCACUCUUAUUCAAUCUCAUGCACACAUUAUAUGAUAUAAGUAAUCUCAAUCUUCGACUCCAAGUCUUGUGUUAGCGCGUUACUUGUUUGAAUGUAAUCUAGCUUAACUAAUAAAGAUGAACGUCACCUCCCUGCGAAACUCCAAUAAAGACUCUCAUCUAACAUUAGCUAUAGGGCCAAGUUUGAACUCAAAGAAUCUAACAUUAGAGCUAUAGGGCCAAGUUUGAACUCAACUUGAAACUAGGAAUAAGGAGCACAAGAACAACCCCUUAUUAAAGGAAUCAGCCUAAGUUGUAUAAGAAUGCCUGCUCGACAUCAGUAAUAAGGAAUUCUCUUUGAAAGUACGGAUACACUGGAUCGUAAUCAACCUCAUUAGUAAUAGUAGGCUUCGGAAUCAAACCACUAGUGAUAAGACUUGAUCGAAACUGUGGAUAGGGAUUCAACACUACCUAAUAGCUUUCACUCUGAACUAAGAAUCACAGAAAUAGGUAAAAUAACUCCACUUCGUACCUUUCACUCUAAACUAGGAAAUCGACUACUGCCCCUAACGACUGAAAUUGACUACUAAUAGACUCAAAUAGGGAAACAGGGAAUCAACACCAGAAAAGCAAUUGAGCUACCCAUAACAAGGCUUCCCUUACUUGCUUUAAACUAAAGAAGUUCCCAUUCCAUGCUUAUCCUAUAAUCCGGAAUUGCACUGGGUAGUAACAACCUACUUGUGCUUGCUUCAACCUUACUAUGAUAUCUCUGAUUCUUACUAAACACCCUCUCGUCCUUCAACUCAUAGGUAUGAUAUAGCACCAUACGAGAUAGAACCAAACUAUGGAUAACAAGAAUAAAUAAAAGAAUAGAGAAUUAAGCCGGUGCUUCUAAGAAUGUCUGAUAUAGGGAGUUAGCUGAGCCCUUAGGAGUGAAAUCAAUCAAGUUUCGGAUAGUAAGCCUUGCUAGCGGUAGUAGAUUUCCCAGUUGCUCGUUAGGUUCGUUAGUUACUGUUGAAUGACCCGUUUUUAGUUGAGUUCCCGGUUUCGAGCUCAAUGCUUCUAUGCACCUAAUAAUAAUCAAAUGAAGUAGUCAAGUUUUUCAAAAAGUAAUACAGCAUGCAAGGAAGCAAGUAAAUAGUAAUAGGUUGAAUCAAGAGGCAAUAGGGAUAUGAGAUCGGGAGCGAGAGCCUUGUUAGUUGUAGCUAUAGUCUGGGAAGUACCAGCUCUAUUCUGUAGUUACCCAACUGGCUGUAGCUUCGAUCCCAGUAGCUACUAGUUAUAGGAUGGGAUAGAGCAAUAGGAGACCUAAAGGCAGGACAGGAGCUAUCUGGCAGUAAGUAAGGAUCCGGAUGUCGGAGUGAAUUCCGAUUAGUACUAGUUGGCUCCUUGCUACUAUAGGAUCAAUUGCUAGUUUAUGGGUUCAGCCUUGCUUUUUGAUAGUGGAGUUCCUUAUUAGAAGAGACAGCAUGAAAAGCACUCGCUACAGAACGAGAGAAAGUUUAGUAAGAGUCAAAGCUAGGGCAGGUAGUUAGUAGUUUCAGAGUGAAAUAGAGGAGUGAGUGUCCGGGGAAGAUAAGAUGCCGGGGGUUCAGCUGUUCCCAGGCAAUACAAAUAAUCGUUUUUCUUUACUUGGUUGGGUUUGGAUUAUUACAGAAUCGAGUUCGAGAUGUUAGGUAGUGAUGCAUUCUUUGACUGCCGGUUUUGAAGUCUUCCAGUACUUAUCCAUAGUUGAGAGUUGGGAAGUCGCAGAGUAACCCUCGCACAUAGCAUUGAGAGCAGUAGCGUCAGAGUGAAAGCCUGGAGAGGUUGUUUGAGACGGUAGAGCUAAGAUCCCACUCCGGAGUUAUAAUCAAAAGUAAGCAGCGCGAGGUUGAAAGCAAGCAAUGGAAGCUAACAAGCAAGAGAAAAGCCCAGCAGAGAGAGAAGAAAAGGCUGUAAAGUCAAGCAAUACUGAUAUGUAGUAAAGUCUACGUCUAUAGGCGUUAUACCUUACCUAUGAAUUGAAGAAAGAGAAACAGGAGUCUCCGUUUGAGAGAAGAUAGAGGCAGACUAGCAAUCGAUCCUACUAGUAGUGGAAGUUGGAAAGUAUAGGAAGUAAGCCGGCGAUCAAGGAGCUUUAGUUUGAUAGCGAGGAAGGGAAGGUUAAUUGGCAGUGAAGCAAGGCUAAAAGCAAAGAGGGUUGGUUAAUAGUUGGAGAAUGAAAAGUCACCUGUGUUAGGUUUAACACCAGUAGUAUAAGGCUAGCAAUCGCUCAUGGUAUUUUGAGUCAAUCGAGUAAGUCCCCGUAUCUGUAGUGCUAGGGCAUGUGGGAAGAACGAAGCUAUUGAGUAAGGCUCCAAGGCAUCAGUGGGAAGAGUGUGAAUUGGUGGUUUAAGACCGGAAGCAAGGGGAUAGGUCGUAAGCCUAGUAUAAAAGGUCGCUCCAGAGCGAAGCUAACGAUUGGUAUACUGGCAACUAGUAAAGGCUCAGAGGCUGUAAUGGUAGUUUGACAAAAGGCAUAGGCAUUGAAGCCACGAGUAAAGAAUAUAGGUAAAAAGUACAAGUUUGUGUUAGCAGAGCCUACUCCCUACCGCAUCUGAACACAUCUGAAGUAAGAACUAUACCAUAAAUCAUUUCUUUGUUGUUUUGUGGCAGUCAAGUAGCUUCACACCUAUUGCCCUAGAGCUAACUCUGUCUUUCCCGACUCAAACUCUUUAACCACUGAUACAGAUCCUUACUCCCGGGAUUGACUCUCAUACUAAUACAAAUAAACCAAACCGUAGAAUAAUGUUAAUUAGGUUCGACUAUUACCUGACAAGAAAGAAACUCGGAACUAAGAAACCAACUAUACGACCUCUGAACAAGAAAAAGGGAAUGAAACCCAGAACCCCUGCUGAUGAGAAUGAAAAAAGCAAUAAAGAGUUGCACUGCUGCAAUGAUAAGAAGACUUUGACUCACGCCUAUAAACCACAAAUUCUUACUACUUGGUCUCGGGCUUACUUUCCUCUAUCUAAGUAUAUCACUGCUUGCUUUGACUCCCCCGCUCCUUCCCCUGAGCCUGACUCUUAUGCCUCCCAAACUUAUACUGAUGCUAGCAAUACCUACUAACAAGGACUUUCUUUCUUUGGCUACUGCACCUAUGAGCUGCCCUACCUUGAGUUAAGUCUCCGAACUCUUAUUUGAAUUCUUUUGAUGAGUUUAGGUCUGCUACUUUGGAUCUCCAAUCUAUUGCCUGCUGCGCGCCUACCUUUUUGAGUAUUCCUUUUGCUAGUAUCGCUAUUCCACUCUGAACUCUAAAACUACCGACUUGCCCACACAUUACAAGCCUUACUGACUCCCCAGCAAAUGCAAAGCCUUACUUCUAUCCUUGUUUCGAACUAGUACACUAUCUAAUAGAUCAAACUAAUCACUUUGGAGAAAACUAGAAACUGGCAAUCCAGCUGCUGCUGCUGACGAGACUUUGACUGACCCUAUAAGAGUGAAACUGCUACCGAUUAGACUAACAACGACUUAGAAUAACAAGGCUUUCACUGGCUCUUAGCACCUUUACUGCUACCAUUUGAUACUAAAAUAAUGGAAUUACUGCUAACAGGGUUUCAUCAAUGCCUUUCAUUACGUAACUACUGCCUACGAUCCUAUACUCCUCGAUAUCAGCCUACCAUUCAUUGCGGAAAUGUCUAUGUCCUAUUAUUAGUAUGCCUUUACUGCCUUACAUUCCUUUCUCUUAGCCUUGCUUCUAAGCGUUAGUCUGCCCCUCCCUUAUCUUAGUAUGCCUUUACUGUCUACCAUUCUGACUAUCCUAUCGAUCUUGCUUCCCCUCUUUCAUUCUUGAGUCAACUCUCACUCCGUCUUUCCUUACUAUAGGUCUGACUAUCCUUUCUCUCAAACUGAUACCAUGGCAUCUCAAUCUGAUUCCUCUAAUAGAGUGCACUAGUUUCUUCUUGUAGUCAGUAGCUGUGGAUUGGAUUCUGACUUACGUGUGUAAGCGCCUAAUACUUAGUGUUUGGAUUCCCUUUUGGUGAGUUAAAGCAUUUGGGGAGCAGUUACAGCCUUAUUAGUGGUAGUUACAACCUGUAUUCUUAUUCUUAUUAGCAAUAGUGAAAGUCUAUCCCGAUAGAGUGGUAGUCUUACUUACCCCACAGAGUAUUCUUGAUUCUGAUAUUGAUUCUAAUGGUAGAAGCUCCAUUACAUCGAUCCUAGUUGUGAGUUGUUGUCUUGUUAGGUGCCUAAGGGCAUAUGAGUAACCAGUUUAGUUCGUUAGUGGGAUGUUUGAUUCGUAGUUCCAGUAUAGUAGGGCCCAGGCCCACGUAUCUGACUUAUGAGUUUCACCCUAUAAGCUAAGCACUCGUUUCAUUCCUUAUUAAAGGCUUUAUUCUGAUUGACAUGAUUCUAAUCCGAAAUCUGUAUGCACUAGAUCAUACCUCUACUACUUACAUCGUACCUCUUCCACUACUUAGAGCUCAAUUCUUGCUUCCCUACUUGCCCCGGUCUAUGAAUGAUAGUUGAAAUAAGGCCAUGUAAGUAAGAGUCAAAACAAAACAAAAGAGUAGGAUUUAGGGCUAAGUAUGCUAUGCUCAUAUUAUUGUAAGAAUGGAGCUAGGGCAUGCCAACACGAAACUCGAAACAUGGGAUCCAACGCUGAUAUAACGACAUUGAACUAAGAAUAAGAUAGCUUCCGUAGGUGCUGAAAGCCUAGUGGAUAACAAGAACCGAACCUGGGCAUAUGAUACUGGCAUCGGGGCUAACAAUACCGUAACUAAACCCUGGGGAUUCAGCAGUGCCCAACAAGACUCUUACUUAGCAUGUAACUCAUAGGUAAAAAGAAUAAAGAGCGGAACUCGUAUCAGCCCCUUAUGACUAGGGCCAAGCAAGAUAGAAUACGCAUAAGACAGUGAGACUAGAGCUUUACCUGCCCGAUAUCCAUGAAUCCUCUCUGGAAAGAAAGAAGAACGGCCUAUUCCGCGAGAUCCAAUCAUAUCUCUCUUUCUCUAUCGAAAGAAAGCCUAGUUACUUGAGUUGAAACAAUAGAAUUAGCCGAGGCUAUCCCAGUUCCAGUUUGGCUAAACGAGGAAAGUGUGUUUUUGGCAUAAAUCUGUCUUCUUCUUUAAACCAACCCGGAAACUAUUCCUUAUAGAUUGAGUUUUCCUACUAGACUCUUGACUCUAAAGUUCUCCUAUUAGAUGAGUUAAGUAUUUGAAGUGAAGCAGGCUUAAAAGGUGGAAGGGCUAGGCUUGCUACUGGGGUUGCCAAUAUGAAAGAGCUCCGCCUUUAUGACCUAUCUAAGUAAAUGAGCUUGCGAGGGAUCGAGCCCUUCUAUGGAUAAUUAUGUAUUAAGUAAAGUAAUAGAUGCGCCUUUCUACUAUAACCUCCAAGACCCUUAAAUUGCAGGGCCCCUAACGGAUUCAAUGUUACCUGGGAUCAAAUCCUUCCUAAAUGAAUUUCCUCUGGAGCUGGGUUCUUUCCCUCCGAAAUCUCUUUUUAUUGGCAACUGGAUUAGGCGUUUCCAUCUCUCAAACUAGAAGAAAGCGCUUUUUCACUUAUAAAGAAGGGAGCAGGUUAACUUGUAAACGGCAAGUCUAGGCUUGCUUCGCUCCAUUUCCCGUAAGCUCGUGAGGCGCCCAGUUAUUACGAUAGGACUCGUUGGUGACUGCUUUCUCUCUUUUAUCAGUGACUUGACAACAGACACCUAAUAACCUAUAGUUACUAACACUGUAUGAGCUUCCCUAUACUUCAAAAAGAGAAAAGGAUUAGCAUCUGAACUAAGCUGGUGAUUCAAGCGCAUCCCAUGCCUCCACUAGUAAACCUCCAUCCUCUAUCGCUGCUUCCUAUCUAAGUUAAGGCUUUAAUUGAACCAUUUUUCUCUCUAUGGGUUAGGCGGGCACAUCCUCUAGGAGGCAAAACCACAUAAGUAUUGCAUCUGUACGGAACAUGGCUCUGCACAAAGCUGGCCUCAAGACUGCACACCGCCCAUUUUGGAAGAGAAAGGUAACCACCCAGAGUUGUUUCCGGAUUCGCUCUGCCUGACUUCGAUCUAUCAGACCUCGUUCUCGUUGUAAAGUGUUUCAAAAAGAGCAAUUGGUUCCUAGUGCAAACGGACGGAUUGGGGCAAGAUUUGUAGGCUAGGCUCGGACAAGGUUAGGAAGGGCGAGAAGGAAGAGAGCUACUGUCGUCUGUUCUGUUCUCGUGCCUAAGCCAAUUAGGAAUUUGGACCUUUCUUUAGGUGGGGUAGUAUAAAGCAUACCAUCUAAAGAGGCUGGAAAGGAAGAAAUAGGUAGUAUAAAGCAUACCAUCUAAAGAGGCUGGAAAGGAAGAAAGAAAGAGCAAAGAUAAUCCUAUAUUGAAAGAAUUGGUUCCACCCGAUGGUACCUCAUUUCCUUUCGAGUUAACUGCAUGGGAUCUUUUCAUACGAGCUUCUGUUUUUUCUGUAAGAAGAAAAGAAGACCGAUUACGAAAGCACUAGCUGCGGCAACUGCUGGAUACUCAUACUUAAGCUCCGGAUACGAUCACACCAACAAGGACUAGCACUAGAUAUGUGAACAGCGUAUGAUGAUUCACUAUCAAACACAGAGGGCAUGAGAUUUCGAAAAGAGUGGAUUCGACGGGAUAUUCAAUCUAUACCUGGCGCAUUGACUCAUUCCAUCUAAACGGGAUAUUCAAUCUAUACCUGGCGCAUUGACUCAUUCCAUCUAAUAAGACGAAAGAAAGACACCUGCACACGAUCGAAAGCAAUGAAGGCUAAGAGCAGAUUCUAAAAGACCGCGUAGUUAAUAGAAAUAUAGAACUGGGACAAUACACUACUAAUGUGUAGCGGCAGGGCCAAGCAACGUAGUUAGUUGCGCGGCAGUCGGCCAAGCAACGAUUACUGUUGCGCGGCAGCCAAUAAGAAGUAGUGAAUAGUUAUAACCAAGUCCUUAGUCUUAGAACGCUAGUGAGUUAUGAGAAAGACCCCUCUCCACUUUGAAAGACCUUUGUUAGGUCGAAGAGCUAUUUAUAUUAUGGUGUAAAUAAAGAAACCCAUGAUUAAUAGAAUGACAAACUUUAGUAAUUCCUUGAAUUGGAGAAAUGAAAAUGUUAGAAGAUUGAUCUUGAUUACUCUUAGUAUGGCAGAUAUUCCUGUAUAAAUGAAAACUUGAAACACUGGUAUAAGUAUAAGAAAAGGCCCUAUACGUAAUUGCUAGCGCAUCUAUAGGUAUGAUAGAAUCUGGAACUAGCCGGCGUGCUCUUUCCUUCCCUAGUGUUCUUUCCUUUAAGUAAGAAUUCCACCCUAUGGCUCUGUGCUUUUGUAGUAGUUGGCUGCCGCGCAACAGUAGGAGUGAGUUCAAGUUAUAACCAAGUCCUGUGUGCCGUUUACAGCCUUGCCUUAACUUACCUUCAAGCUGUGUAGGAUGCGCUCAAUUCUCUUUUUGAGACUCCAUUCUCCUCUUUAGACUCAAUUCGAUUCUUUUGGUUGUAUUCUUAAGCUUCUACUGCAGCAGAUCAAGAUCUAUAUGAUUCUCUCGACGCAGCUUAUUCUCUUGCAACAACAGUUGGACCAGGAAAACAAGUAAUGGAACUUUAUAGCGCAGAAGACGAAAACAAGACUUCCGACUCUUGAAAGGCUGGAAACCAAACUAGUAACUACUAGACGCCAAGAUACAUAGUAAGUAGACAAAGGCUUGAAUCGGGCCAAGCUACGUAUACAAAGGCAAAGAGAGAAAGAAAGAAACAUAAUAAUGUAUUAGUAGCAGCUGUUACCAAGUCUCUCCUCCGAGUCCUGUGCCACUUAUAUAUCUGCUCCCGGGGUUUGGUGAAAACGGAUUGUAUGCAGCUGCUUCCCCCAUUUCAUCUUUGAUAACGGAAUGCGGAUCAUCUACUUCAUAAGCUAGAUCAGGUACAGGUAAAGGGGUUUAAGCGGCAGCUGUUCUCUUCUCUUCUUGCCUACCCGAACUCUACUCUCACUGAGUCUGAUCCAUAUCUUUCAACUUUACCUUGUAGUGGGCAUUUGCCAAGAACAGAAUAAUACUUUUAGCUUGCAGUUGACUUCCGCACUCGACUUGAAGAACCGAUUGCACCUGCUAUUGUUCUUGCUCCGGAAACUCGUUACGUGGCAGAUCCAUAUCACUUAUUUCCUUUUCUCUCUCUUGCUUAGCGCCCUGGCCUUUGAACUAGUUUAUGCCCCCACCCCUACCUCUCCUGGAAGUUAAGAAUUCAUUGAUUCUUUGUUUCCGGCUUCAGGGCGUUGUGGUCCAGGAAAGGUUUCGUUCUUGGAAUCAGAAUAAGAUUGAUAAGAUAAGUAUUAGGAUAAGAAUAAGAUGCUAUCCAACUGACAUCGUUCUUGUUCCCCGACUGGGUAUGAGAGAUGUGGGUAACAAACCGAGUCCUCUGAAACAAUAAAUACAGAAUUCCAACUUCAAACAAACAUAAGAAAAAGAAGAAUUAGCUACUAGUAGAGGUAUGAUAGAUACCGGUAACCCACAAUGUGCUCUAAGGUGACUCGGCUCGCUAACGCUUCAGACAGGUGCUGAAAGCCUAGAAACUACACUAGAAACUCCCCCAUACAUAGUUGUUAGUGCUGCAGAAGUAUCGUCUCCUUAGGUAUUUCUCGUAGAUAGAAUCCAGAUUGAAGUGAAGCUGACCCCUGACUUGCAGCAAUGAACUAUCUUACGCCUAACUAGAAGAUGGAAAUUGGACUCUCGAGCAGGCGUUUGCGUUACCUAACUUUCUCCUGUAUAACAUUGCCUCUCAUCGACCUUUUGAGUUGAGUUCGUUUCGGGGUUAACACUUAUUGGAGUGGUGCUUGAG
rnacentral:lncRNA from 1 species